UACGUAGGUGGCAAGCGUUGUCCGGAUUUAUUGGGUUUAAAGGGUGCGUAGGCGGUUUUCUAAGUCAGCUGUGAAAUACGGCAGCUCAACUGUCGAGGUGCUGUUGAUACUGGGGAACUUGAGUACUGAUGAGGUAGGCGGAAUGGACGGUGUAGCGGUGAAAUGCGUAGAUAUCGUAAGGAAGACCAGUGGCGAAGGCGGGUCUCUGGACAGUUCCUGACGCUGAGGCACGAAGGCCAGGGGAGCAAACGGG
rnacentral:rRNA from 1 species